rnacentral:lncRNA from 1 species
AGAAGCUAAAUGACUAUGGAAGACAUCAGUGUCAGGAUUAUCAGACAAAUGACUAAACAUGGCUAUGGUAAAGGAGAUGUGUAGUCUACCUCUGGGAGAAUGCUAAUGUGCUUCAGAAAUCAGAAGGUGCUCAAAUUUGAAGGGAGGGAAAGAUUUCUGUUUCUUCUUGGCUGACUGUCCUUCAUCUGGCUUGAAGUUGCCUGGUUAUGUAAUAAAAAGAAAUCCCUCAGUUAUCAUGUGAGUAGGUGGUAUCUCCACUGACACCACUGAAGUUCUACUGAUUUCAGCAGAGCUACUCUAGAUUUACCUCAGUGUAAAUGGGAGGAGAAAUGGGCCCAAAUGCUUCAGAAAACACCAGGGUGUCCCUGGAGCUGCACUAGCUGCAGCUCCCUGCACCUCUCACAGAUUAAAAACUCAAAUCUGUGGACAAAUAGCUGCAAAAAGGCUUGGGAGAAACCAGCCUCUGAGCCUCUUCCCUCUCGCAGCAAUAUCCCCAAGGGGAGUCGGCAGCAGCAUCGUGCCUCUUCCCUGCUCCCUACUCAAAGGCAGGAGCUGAUCUAAACAGGCUGGAUUUGCAAGUGCCUCCUCCCUGGUAAUACCAUUUUCUUCUUUAAAAACCAUUCAAAAAACAAUUUUUUGAUGACAUGGUGAUCUGAUGCCUGGAUAAAGGUAGUAUAGAGACAGACCAG